UUAGGGAUUUUCGGCAAUGGGCGCAAGCCUGACCGAGCAACGCCGCGUGAGUGAUGAAGGCCUUCGGGUCGUAAAGCUCUGUUGUAGAGGAAGAAAAAUGUGGAUAGGCUCCACAAUAUUGACAGUACUCUGCGAGAAAGACACGGCUAACUACGUGCCAGCAGCCGCGGUGAUACGUAGGUGUCGAGCGUUAUCCGGAAUUAUUGGGCGUAAAGAGUGAGCAGGCGGUUUGUUAAGUUGAUUGUAAAAGGCUAUUGCUUAACGAUAGUAAGCAGUCAAAACUAACAAACUAGAGACAGGUAGAGGUUAACGGAAUUCCAUGUGUAGCGGUGAAAUGCGUAGAUAUAUGGAGGAACACCAGUGGCGAAGGCGGUUAACUGGGCCUAGUCUGACGCUGAGUCACGAAAGCGUGGGGAGCAAAUA
rnacentral:rRNA from 1 species